rnacentral:rRNA from 1 species
CAAUAGCGUAUAUUAAAGUUGUUGCAGUUAAAAGCUCGUAGUUGGAUUUGUGGCUGUCGCUAGCGGCCUAUCACCUAGUGUUAGUGCUUGCUGGCGUCGCCAUCCUUGGGUGGAGCCUGCGUGGCAUUAGGUUGUCGUGCAGGGGAUGCCCAUCGUUUACUGUGAGAAAAUUAGAGUGUUCAAAGCAGGCUUAUGCCGUUGAAUAUGUUAGCAUGGAAUAAUAAGAUAGGACCUUGGUACUAUUUUGUUGGUUUGCGCACCGAGGUAAUGAUUAAUAGGGACAGUUGGGGGUAUUCGUAUUCCAUUGUCAGAGGUGAAAUUCUUGGAUUUCUGGAAGACGAACUACUGCGAAAGCAUUUACCAAGGAUGUUUUCAUUAAUCAAGAACGAAAGUUAGGGGAUCGAAGAUGAUCAGAU